rnacentral:lncRNA from 1 species
UGACUUCAAGAAUGAAGCCGUGGACCCUCACGGUGAGUGUUACAGCCCUUAAAGGCAGUGUGGACCCAAAGAGUGAGCAGUAGCAAGAUUUAUUGCAAAGAGCGAAAGAACAAACCUUCCACAGACUGGAAAGGGACCCAAGCGGGUUGCCACUGCUAGCUCAGGCAGCCUGCUUUUAUUCUCUUAUCUGGCCCCACCCACAUCCUGCUGAUUGGUAGAGCCCAGUGGUCUGUUUCGACAGGGCGCUGAUUGGUGCGUUUACAAUCCCUGAGCUAGACAUAAAGGUUCUCCACAUCCCCACCAGACUCAGGAACCCAGCUGGCUUCACCCAGUGGAUCCAGCACCGGGGUUGCAGGUGGAGCUGCCUGCCAGUCCCGGUGCCGUGCGCCCCCCACUCCUCAGCCCUUGGGCGGUCGAUGGGACUGGGCACCUUGGAGCAGGGGGUGGCGCUCAUCGGGGAGGCUCGGGCCGCACAGGAGCCCAUGGAGGGAGUGGGAGGCUCAGGCAUGGCGGGCUGCAGGUCCCGAGCCCUGCCCCGCGGGAAGGCAGUUAAGGCCCGGUGAGAAAUCGAGCGCAGCGCCGGUGGGCUGGCACUGCUGGGGGACCCAGUACACCCUCCGCAGCCGCUGGCCCGGGUGCUAAGCCCCUCAUUGCCCGGGGCUGGCAGGGCCGGCCGGCUGCUCCGAGUGCGGGGCCGGCCAAGCCCACCCCCACCCGGAACUCCAGCUGGCCCGCAAGCGCCGCGCGCAGCCCGGGUUCCCGCUCGCGCCUCUCCCUCCACACCUCCUUGCAAGCUGAGGGAACCGGCUCUGGCCUUGGCCAGCCCAGAAAGGGGCUCCCACAGUGCAGCGGUGGGCUGAAGGGCUCCUCAAGUGCCGCCAAAGUGGGAGCCCAGGCAGAGGAGGCGCAGAGAGCGAGCGAGGGCUGUGAGGACUGCCAGCAUGCUGUUACCUCUCAAUAAGUGGUCCCAAAGAUAACCAAUUGUUUAGAGCCUAGAGGAAAGGGAAGAACCCACAUCUACCAUGAAUGAAUAAAUGGCGACCUGGAAGCAUACUUCUGGUAGCAAUGGGGACACGGGUCAAAGGGGACUUGAGGUUAUCAGCUUUCAGAAUGAAGACACAUAAUCCCUAUUAGAGUGGAAGACUUAAAAUCGAGUUUGAGACCCACCUUCUGAAACUGCAGGCUCUUGGGAGCCUGAUUUCCGGUGAAGAGUGUUGCUGCUUUGCAUUUUUCACACUUGAACACAGUGAAGAAGAUGAACAUUAAUUAGGAUUAUAGUGCCAUGGAGGCUUACUGUGCUGUGAGAACUCACAAGAAAUAAAAUGCCAUUUCUUUUUUUGGAUGCA